UGCCCGCAUGCCAGAGAUGAACUGGGAGAGCUCGAGGAAGAGACGACAGUUAAACGGACGGGGGAGAGUGCUGGGGACUGAGCGGCAGGAGACGGAGCUGCGUACUGCCGGAUGACUGUAAAAAGUGUGACAGACCUGGCUCUGGACGGCGACUCUGGGGGAGAGAUAUACUGACCAAAUUCCCCAGCGGCUCCUGUGAAGUGGAUAGCGGGACCGAAGUGUGGACGGCUGUGGCGAGCGGCGACGGGCUCCGACAUCAGUAAAUCCCUCUGGGCGGAGCGGAAGAGGAGUCUCCUGAUAGUGACCCCGUGUGGCUGUGGGCGGCGAUAUCAGUGAGUCCACAGCAGAGCUAUCCCUCACUGGGCGGAUCAAGAGGCGGCGCUGCCCCACAAACCAGGCCCCAAAUCGGUCGCUUGUCCGGUGAAUUCACGAUAUCCUGAUCCUGGAGAGUCCUGUACAGUGAGGGCAACCUGGAAAACAAGAAAAUACUGGAUAACGCAGGAGGACACUUAUCAAAGCUCAGACAGCAGAAAACACCAAAACCUACUCUGAGGCUCCAGUCUCUGCAGGAUUGGCCUGGCACUGGUCACAGUCACCGACGUGAUGGUCUUCACACUUCUCUCCGCUACAUUGCACACAGAUUUCAGGUAGGGGUGGUUAUCUUUGGUGUGAAUAUAGGCAGAAGACACCAUGUCAUACGUUGAGCUCACCAAGGGGAGGUUGAUCAACCUGACCACAACGUUCUACAGGAGAAACAGCCAGAGUUAGUCCAACACCGUACAGCUGGGUUCUUCUCCGAGCAGACCAGGAGGCUACACCUGGGGACAGGGCUCAGGGUGCACAUUUACGGUUUUCAGUUGUGACCUAUAACAUUGGCAGUUACCACUCAGUUUGGGUUUGUUUUUAAACACACAGUUUGAGAUGCAGCAGUUGUGUAGUACACAGGUUACUAGGACCAGUAAUAUCACGACUACAGGUGGCCCAGU